AUUGAACGCUAGCGGGAUGCCUUACACAUGCAAGUCGAACGGCAGCACGGACUUCGGUCUGGUGGCGAGUGGCGAACGGGUGAGUAAUGUAUCGGAACGUGCCCAGUAGCGGGGGAUAACUACGCGAAAGCGUAGCUAAUACCGCAUACGCCCUACGGGGGAAAGCAGGGGAUCGCAAGACCUUGCACUAUUGGAGCGGCCGAUAUCGGAUUAGCUAGUUGGUGGGGUAACGGCUCACCAAGGCGACGAUCCGUAGCUGGUUUGAGAGGACGACCAGCCACACUGGGACUGAGACACGGCCCAGACUCCUACGGGAGGCAGCAGUGGGGAAUUUUGGACAAUGGGGGAAACCCUGAUCCAGCCAUCACGCGUGUGCGAUGAAGGCCUUCGGGUUGUAAAGCACUUUUGGCAGGAAAGAAACGUCGCGGGUUAAUACCCCGCGAAACUGACGGUACCUGCAGAAUAAGCACCGGCUAACUACGUG
rnacentral:rRNA from 1 species